rnacentral:tRNA from 1 species
GUGGCUAUAGUUUAACGGUAGAACAGUGGGUUGUGGUCCCACUGGCCUGGGUUCAACUCCCAGUAGCCACCCCA